GGAGUUUGAUUCUGGCUCAGAACGAACGCUGGCAGCGUGGAUUAGGCAUGCAAGUCGAACGAGAAGCCAUUGCUUCAAUCUUCGGAGAGAAGCGAUGGUGGAAAGUGGCGGAAGGGUGAGUAACGCGUGGGUAAGCUACCUUAAAGUUGGGGACAACCAGAUGAAAAUCUGGCUAAUACCGGAUGUGGUCUCUUGGCGCAUGUCAAGAUGACUAAAGGCGGGGAUUCUUCGGAACCUGUCGCUUUGAGAGGCACCCGCGUGCCAUCAGCUUGUUGGUAGGGUAACGGCCUACCAAGGCUUACGGCUAGCCGGCCUGAGAGGGUGAUCGGCCACACUGGGACUGAGACGCUGCCCAGACUCCUACGGGAGGCUGCAGUCGAGGAUCAUUCGCAAUGCGCGAAAGCGUGACGAUGCGACGCUGCGUGGAGGAUGACGGCCUUCGGGUUGUAAACUCCUGUCAUGAGGAAAAGACGUUUCACCCUUAAUACGGGUGAGGCCCGAUGGUACCUCAAGAGGAAGCCACGGCUAACUCUUUGCCAGCAGCCGCGGUAAUACAGAGGUGGCGAGCGUUGUUCGGAUUUACUGGGCGUAAAGGGUGCGUAGGUGGUUCUGCAUGUCGGGUGUGAAAUACCAUGGCUCAACUAUGGAAUGUCAUUCGAAACCGUGGAACUAGAGUGCAGGAGGGGAGAGCGGAAUUCUUGGUGUAGCGGUGAAAUGCGUUGAUAUCAAGAAGAACACCGGUGGCGAAGGCGGCUCUCUGGAAUGCUACUGACACUGAGGCACGAAAGCUGGGGGAGCAAACAGGAUUAGAUACCCUGGUAGUCCCAGCCGUAAACGGUGCACACUUGGUGUGGGGAGAUUUAACCCUCUCCGUGCCGGAGCUAACGCGUUAAGUGUGCCGCCUGGGGAGUACGGCCGCAAGGCUAAAACUCAAAGAAAUUGACGGGGGCCCGCACAAGCGGAGGAGCAUGUGGCUUAAUUCGAUGCAACGCGAAGAACCUUACCAGGGCUUGACAUAUACCUGCAAGCCCCCUGAAAGGGGGGAAUCCUUCGAGGGUGGUAUACAGGUGCUGCAUGGCUGUCGUCAGUUCGUGCCGUGAGGUGUUGGGUUAAGUCCCGUAACGAACGCAACCCUUGUGGCUAGUUGCUACCGGCGGUGAUGAGCCGCCGGGCACUCUAGUCAGACUGCCCGUACAAGCGGGAGGAAGGUGGGGAUGACGUCAAGUCAGUAUGGCCCUUACGCCCUGGGCUGCACACGUGCUACAAUGGACGGUACAAUGGGAAGCAAUACCGCGAGGUGGAGCAAAUCCCCAGAACCGUCCUCAGUUCGGAUUGAAGUCUGCAACUCGACUUCAUGAAGUUGGAUUCGCUAGUAACGGCGCAUCAGCUACGGCGCCGUGAAUACGUUCCCGGGCCUUGUACACACCGCCCGUCACAUCAUGAAAGCCGUCUGCACCCGAAGUCGCUGAUCCAACCCGCAAGGGAGGUAGGUGCCGAAGGUGUGGGUGGUAAUUGGGAU
rnacentral:rRNA from 1 species